rnacentral:rRNA from 1 species
UACGAAGGGGGCUAGCGUUGUUCGGAAUUACUGGGCGUAAAGCGCACGUAGGCGGACUUUUAAGUCAGGGGUGAAAAUCCCGGGGCUCAACCUCGGAACUGCCUUUGAUACUGGGGAUCUCGAGUCCGGGAGAGGUGAGUGGAACUGCGAGUGUAGAGGUGAAAUUCGUAGAUAUUCGCAAGAACACCAGUGGCGAAGGCGGCUCACUGGCCCGGAACUGACGCUGAGGUGCGAAAGCGUGGGGAGCAAACAGG